rnacentral:rRNA from 1 species
UACGUAGGGGGCAAGCGUUGUCCGGAUUUACUGGGUGUAAAGCGCGCGUAGGUGGUCCCGUAAGUCCGCUGUGAAAGUCAAAGGCUCAACCUUUGAAAGCCGGUGGAUACUGUCGGACUAGAGUGCGGAAGAGGCGAGUGGAAUUCCUGGUGUAGCGGUGGAAUGCGCAGAUAUCAGGAGGAACACCAGUAGCGAAGGCGACACUCUGGGCCGGUACUGACGCUGAGGCGCGAAAGCGUGGGGAGCAAACAGG